rnacentral:rRNA from 1 species
GAUGAACGCUGGCGGCAUGCCUAACACAUGCGAGUCGAUCGGUAAGGCUCUUCGGAGUACACGAGAGGCGGACGGCUGAGUAACGCGUAGGAACACACCCUGCAGUGAGGGAUAAGACACCGAAAGGUGUUCUAAUACCGCAUACGGUCUUCGGAUUAAAGCAUUUAUGCGCUGAAGGAGUGGCCUGCGUCAUAUUAGAUAGUUGGUGAGGUAAUGGCUCACCAAGUCGAUGAUGUGUAGCUGGUCUGGGAGGAUGAUCAGCCAGACUGGAACUGAGACACGGUCCAGACUCCUACGGGAGGCAGCAGUGAGGAAUAUUUCACAAUGAGCGAAAGCUUGAUGGAGCAAUGCCGCGUGCAGGAUGAAGGCCCUCGGGUUGUAAACUGCUUUUAUAAGAGAAGAUUAUGACGGUAACUUAUGAAUAAGGGACGGCUAACUACGUG